rnacentral:rRNA from 1 species
UACGUAGGGUGCAAGCGUUAAUCGGAAUUACUGGGCGUAAAGCGUGCGCAGGCGGUGAUGUAAGACAGUUGUGAAAUCCCCGGGCUCAACCUGGGAACUGCAUCUGUGACUGCAUCGCUGGAGUGCGGCAGAGGGGGAUGGAAUUCCGCGUGUAGCAGUGAAAUGCGUAGAUAUGCGGAGGAACACCGAUGGCGAAGGCAAUCCCCUGGGCCUGCACUGACGCUCAUGCACGAAAGCAUGGGGAGCAAAAGGG